CCAAGGAGUCUAGCAUGUGCGCGAGUCAUUGGGACUCUAUUCGAAACCUAAAGGCGCAAUGAAAGUGAAGGUUCGCCUAGCGCGAACCGAGGGAGGAUGGACGGUCGUUCGUGGCCGUCCCGCACUCCCUGGGCGUCUCGUUCUCAUCGCGAGAAGGGACGCACCAAGAGCGUACACGCUGGGACCCGAAAGAUGGUGAACUAUGCCUGGUCAGGACGAAGUCAGGGGAAACCCUGAUGGAGGUCCGUAGCGAUUCUGACGUGCAAAUCGAUCGUCGGAACUGGGUAUAGGGGCGAAAGACUAAUCGAACCAUCUAGUAGCUGGUUCCCUCCGAAGUUUCCCUCAGGAUAGCUGGCGCUCGCUUCUCGCGAGUCUCAUUCGGUAAAGCGAAUGAUUAGAGGCAUUGGGGUCGAAACGGCCUCAACCUAUUCUCAAACUUUAAAUGGGUGAGAUCUCCGGCUUGCUUGGCCGCGAGAUAUCGGAUCAGAGUGCCAAGUGGGCCACUUUUGGUAAGCAGAACUGGCGCUGUGGGAUGAACCAAACGCCGAGUUAAAGCGCCUAAAUCGACGCUUAUGGGAUACCAUGAAAGGCGUUGGUAACUUAAGACAGCAGGACGGUGGCCAUGGAAGUCGGAAUCCGCCAAGGAGUGUGUAACAACUCACCUGCCGAAGUUACUAGCCCUGAAAAUGGAUGGCGCUGAAGCGUCGUGCUUAUACUCUGCCGUCAGCGGCAUGUGAGACGGUCCUUAAGAGGUCGUCAUGAAGCCCUGACGAGUAGGAGGGUCGCGGCGGUGAGCGCAGAAGGACCAGGCGCGAGCCAGUCUGGAGCCGCCGUCGGUGCAGAUCUUGGUGGUAGUAGCAAAUACUCCAGCGAGGCCCUGGAGGACUGACGUGGAGAAGGGUUUCGUGUGAACAGCCGUUGCACACGAGUCAGUCGAUCCUAAGCCAUAGGCGAAAGCCGAUGUCGAUGCGGUGUAUCUUUCAGUGUCUAAGGCUAUUUAUAUAUGUAUACAUAUAUAUAUACUAACCUCGAAUAGGACGUAUAGAGAGACUCACACCCGUCGGGCGAAAGGGAAUCCGGUUCCUAUUCCGGAACCCGGCAGCGGAACCGUUAUUAAGUCGUGCCCUCAUUCAGAGAGUUCGUCGGGGCAACCCAAAAGGACCUGGAGACGCCGUCGGGAGAUCCGGGAAGAGUUUUCUUUUCUGCAUAAGCGCUCGAGUUCCAUGGAAUCCUCUAGCAGGGAGAUAUGGUUUGGAGCGCGAAGAGCACCGCAGUUGCGGCGGUGUCCGGAUCUUCCCCUCGGACCUUGAAAAUCCAGGAGAGGGCCACGUGGAGGCGUCGCGCCGGUUCGUACCCAUAUCCGCAGCA
rnacentral:rRNA from 1 species